AUUGAACGCUGGCGGCAUGCCUUACACAUGCAAGUCGAACGGCAGCGCGGGAGCAAUCCUGGCGGCGAGUGGCGAACGGGUGAGUAAUACAUCGGAACGUGCCCAAUCGUGGGGGAUAACGCAGCGAAAGCUGUGCUAAUACCGCAUACGAUCUACGGAUGAAAGCAGGGGAUCGCAAGACCUUGCGCGAAUGGAGCGGCCGAUGGCAGAUUAGGUAGUUGGUGAGGUAAAGGCUCACCAAGCCUUCGAUCUGUAGCUGGUCUGAGAGGACGACCAGCCACACUGGGACUGAGACACGGCCCAGACUCCUACGGGAGGCAGCAGUGGGGAAUUUUGGACAAUGGGCGAAAGCCUGAUCCAGCCAUGCCGCGUGCAGGAUGAAGGCCUUCGGGUUGUAAACUGCUUUUGUAGGGAACGAAACGGUCUUUUCUAAUAAAGAAGGCUAAUGACGGUACCGUAAGAAUAAGCACCGGCUAACUACGUG
rnacentral:rRNA from 1 species